GGGGGGGGGGGGGGGGCCGAGCCCCCGCCGGCUGUUUCUCAGCCGGUGGCAGCCCGCGGGAAGCGGGGGUUCCUGCCCCCGCUCCCUCCGCCGCUCAUGGGCGAGGGGCCCGGGCUCCGCCGUGGGCGAAAAAGUUAAGGGAAAAAAAAAAAAAAGAAAAAAAAAGAACAAAAAAAGAGAGAUAAAACAAUAUGGGGCAUACUUGAAGUUCUCUGACCCUCUCGUGCAAAUCCAGUGUGUCCAUCAUCAUUUUGAGGACUUCAGUAUACGUUUGCAGUAUGAGGAUGAGGAAGGCUAUGACAUUGUCCAGGCUAUGGAAUUUCAAGGUUCACAUCCAUGGACAUGGGCUGGGCUUGUACCAGAAUAUCCUCCUUUAAGAGAGUGUCCUCACUACCUGGCAGCUGAGAUAACUUCUGGAAUUUAUUAUGGCUGAAUGAAUCAACUGAAGCCAUCUCAUGGGAAUAGGAGAGGUCUGGAAGCUCAGAAUAUGCUGUGAUUCUGAAUAUAUAUCCUGACUCUUCAGGCAAGAAAAGCAAGAUGCAAGAAAAAUAGAAAUAUGACCCUAAAAAUCCAGACUGUGGUGACUUGGAAUGGAAUGUGAAAAUCUGGUCAAAUGCAGACUACUGAAGCACUAGUUGCUUUAUAAACCUAAGAUGGUGAGAAAAGAAGAUGGGCUUAAAAGAAUGAAAGCUUUGUCGUGAUCUUUACCCUCAUUGCUAGGGAUUUCAGAAAAAUCUAGGUCUGUUUAUAAUUUCCCAUAGUGCCCAUUGCUUUAUAAUGGAUAAUGGGAUGCCCUUCUCCUGGGAACUAUGUGCCAGUUUAUUCUUGAAAACUCCAGUAAGAAAUGCAGCUCUUGGAUACCUUUAUCAACUUUAGGGAUCACCUCAUGUGGGGUAAUUCUGGGCACUGGGGGUUGUGUAGGGGGUUGUGCUACCUUACCCCAUAUGGCCAUGUCCUAAAGGUUCUUUUAAGAUGGAGGAUACUUAUUACUUGAAAGGAAAUGGAAGAAAAUGCUUCCAUGAGGAGCAAAGUCAAGACGGAGCUAUUAAUUUGCCAAAGAGAGAUGAAACAAUAUACAGACCUGAACUUCUAUGUUUGGUGGGCACAGGAGCUCCUUAGACCAGACUGAGGGAACCUUACUUUUGAGGGCACAAACCCUGAGAAGGAUUCUCAUGCAAAGGAUACUGGCUGAUGGAUUUUAACCUUGUCCUGUAUUUCAUUUUCACCUAGGAAGUACUGAAUACUGUUUGCAAUUCUAGUUAAGAUGUUUUUGGCCAUUGAGUGUUAGUGCAUUUACAACUGUAAACCACUUCCAAAAUCUCUGAAGAAGCAGGUGGAAGGCCAAGAAGAUGAGAAAUAUAUGAGUCAAUUAAGUGAAGGUCAUAAAUGUACCCCUUUUCAAGAGGCAUCAUCAAACAGUUUUCUGAAAAGAGAAAUUUGCAAAGAGGGAAGCAGGUGUCAAAUUCCCUUUUGGCAGCUGGAUCUUAAAAGCAAUUAGAAUGAAAAGCUACCUGAUCUAAAGCUCAAGACACCAGGAGGAUGUGCUCUAACAAGUGGAAGGAAACACAUAUGGAUGGGGUUUACAACUCUCAUGCUGUAGGGAGGAUGCAGAACGGUGAUGAAAUGUGCUGACAUGCCUAAAUUGUGGCAGGAUAUAGGACCCUGGCACUGGCAGUGAGGAGGAACUUGAGAACGAUUUUUGAGCUCUGUAUGCAAACAGCUGUCUGUCUUCCACAGUAUGCUGUAAAAAAUAGAGGUUUAGAACUAUUAGAAAAGCAAAGGAAGUGCAAUAGCCCAGAUUUUGAUCAUAAUUACACCCAGGUGGUUCUGAAGUGACUACACCCGUGUCAUUGUAGUUACACCAGUGCAAAACUUGUGUGAGAACUGAAUCGCGCUCUUUGUUUUCUUGCAUUUGUGUACCAAAAGAGUACUCUAACAGCUCUUAGUAAAUAAUAAAUUAAUAAUGAUAUGAUGAUCUCCCUUAUGACUGGAAGAAGUACAGAAAAAUAAGUGUCAGAGUAAGAAUUUGCUUGCAAGAUUAUUUGGAAGUGUCAUUUCUACAUUCUACCAUGAGUAUAGGAUGCUUUGCUGGACUAAUUUUAAUUUAUGGACCAAUUAAAAUUUUUAUUUCAAACAUCAGAAACAUCCAGUGUAGUCAGGUAGCACGUGGUGAACAAUAGAAAGACUACAACAUAUAGGUCAUAGUUCAAAUGAGAAAGACCUUUGGUCUUUGCAUGGAAAAGUACCUUUAAAUCCCCAGCAGAAAGUAGUAAUGAAAACAACUAGUGAAGGCAAGUGCUUUCUUUCUCUCCCUGCUGUAAAGCAAAUUAUAUUUUAGUAGUUGGUUUUGUUUGUGUUUUCCCAUUUGUGUCUCAGAAUACACCAGAUUGCAACGUUACAUCACAUUUUUAAUGACUGGAACCGUGUCCUGAGAUCCCCCUCUGACCACACCACAACUUCCUUCUUUCCUUUCUCCUCCUGGCUAGAGGACUGUAUGCAAUUAUGAUGAGGACAUAAUUCAAUUAAUUAUUGACAGAACAUGUAAUUGCCACUCAGAUCGCUCUCUGAUAAAUCUCUCCGCGCUCUCUGACUUCUGUUUGUCAUGCACUAGGGAGGUGGAAAGGCACUAAAAAUGCGUUUUAAAGAUAGGACGUUUCUCAAUCCUUUGUAUCAGUCGGAGAGGCUUCUGCCGCCCUAGGCUCUUUAGAUGUACAGCGUAUUGUUCUCGUCUGUGCUAAACAAGUAUCCCCGAGAAAGCUCAGUGGGAUGGAGGCUUAUGAUUCAUUUUAAGUGCAGGAUAUAAUAGGAGCAGAUAACUUUGAUCUGUGCAAAGGAAAAGUGUGAUCUCUUUCAGGGAUUCCAGGAAUUCAUAGCAAAUUUUUCUUCUGUUGCUGAUUAAAGAGAAAGUGAUAAAUAAGAGCUCUGUGUUCGGUUUAAAGGAGGAAUGUAGCUUUAGAAAGCUGACUUAUUUAGAGGAAAAAAAAAGUCCUGACCUCAUAUAGCCUUUGACCAAGAUCUGCUAGUAGUAGAGAGUAAAGAUGAGGCUGUUUCUGUUAUUACUAAAGCCCACAGUGACCAUUUCUUUCUGUAUGACCGGAAAAUGUCCUGGGGGCCAGGCCGGGGUGGGGAUGUGCCCGGGUUUUGCCCGUAACUUCGGAUUACAACUAAAGCUUGCCAAAAGCUGAUAAAGGAAAGAGAUAACGAGGUGAGAAAGCAAAGAAUGGCUGUAUUGUAAAGUCAGGAAAACUAAACUGUAAAAAAGAAAAAAAAAAGAAAAAAAAAAAAAAAAAAAAAAAAAAAAAAAAAAAAGUAUUGUUCUCGUCUGUGCUAAACAAGUAUCCCCGAGAAAGCUCAGUGGGAUGGAGGCUUAUGAUUCAUUUUAAGUGCAGGAUAUAAUAGGAGCAGAUAACUUUGAUCUGUGCAAAGGAAAAGUGUGAUCUCUUUCAGGGAUUCCAGGAAUUCAUAGCAAAUUUUUCUUCUGUUGCUGAUUAAAGAGAAAGUGAUAAAUAAGAGCUCUGUGUUCGGUUUAAAGGAGGAAUGUAGCUUUAGAAAGCUGACUUAUUUAGAGGAAAAAAAAAGUCCUGACCUCAUAUAGCCUUUGACCAAGAUCUGCUAGUAGUAGAGAGUAAAGAUGAGGCUGUUUCUGUUAUUACUAAAGCCCACAGUGACCAUUUCUUUCUGUAUGACCGGAAAAUGUCCUGGGGGCCAGGCCGGGGUGGGGAUGUGCCCGGGUUUUGCCCGUAACUUCGGAUUACAACUAAAGCUUGCCAAAAGCUGAUAAAGGAAAGAGAUAACGAGGUGAGAAAGCAAAGAAUGGCUGUAUUGUAAAGUCAGGAAAACUAAACUGUAAAAAAGAAAAAAAAAAGAAAAAAAAAAAAAAAAAAAAAAAAAGAGUAGGCGCGUA
rnacentral:lncRNA from 1 species